UACGGAGGGGGCAAGCGUUAUCCGGAUUCACUGGGUUUAAAGGGUGCGUAGGCGGGCAGGUAAGUCAGUGGUGAAAUCCUAGAGCUUAACUCUAGAACUGCCAUUGAUACUAUCUGUCUUGAAUAUUGUGGAGGUAAGCGGAAUAUGUCAUGUAGCGGUGAAAUGCUUAGAUAUGACAUAGAACACCUAUUGCGAAGGCAGCUUACUACGCAUAUAUUGACGCUGAGGCACGAAAGCGUGGGGAUCAAACAGG
rnacentral:rRNA from 1 species